rnacentral:rRNA from 1 species
GUUAGUUGGUGAGGUAACGGCUCACCAAGACCGCGAUCGGUAGCCGGACUGAGAGGUUGAACGGCCACAUUGGGACUGAGACACGGCCCAGACUCCUACGGGAGGCAGCAUG